GAUGAAGAACGUAGCGAAAUGCGAUACGUAAUGUGAAUUGCAGAAUUCAGUGAGUCAUCGAAUCUUUGAACGCACAUUGCGCCCUGUGGUAUUCCGCAGGGCAUGCCUGUUCGAGCGUCAUUUCAGCCCUCAAGCCUCGCUUGGUGUUGGGCCCUGCCCGCCGCGGCCGGCCCUAAAGAUAGUGGCGGCGCCGCCUGGCCCUCAGCGUAGUACAGCUCUCGCUCCAGGGUCCGGCGGCAGCCUGCCAGAACCCCCCAACUCUGUGGUUGACCUCGGAUCAGGUAGGGAUACCCGCUGAACUUAAGCAUAUCAAUAAGCGGAGGA
rnacentral:misc_RNA from 1 species